GGUAUUGAUUGGUGCUUGCAUCAUGAUUUACAUUUGAGUGAGUGGCGAACUGGUGAGUAACACGUGGGAAACCUGCCCAGAAGCGGGGGAUAACACCUGGAAACAGAUGCUAAUACCGCAUAACAACUUGGACCGCAUGGUCCGAGCUUGAAAGAUGGCUUCGGCUAUCACUUUUGGAUGGUCCCGCGGCGUAUUAGCUAGAUGGUGGGGUAACGGCUCACCAUGGCAAUGAUACGUAGCCGACCUGAGAGGGUAAUCGGCCACAUUGGGACUGAGACACGGCCCAAACUCCUACGGGAGGCAGCAGUAGGGAAUCUUCCACAAUGGACGAAAGUCUGAUGGAGCAACGCCGCGUGAGUGAAGAAGGGUUUCGGCUCGUAAAACUCUGUUGUUAAAGAAGAACAUAUCUGAGAGUAACUGUUCAGGUAUUGACGGUAUUUAACCAGAAAGCCACGGCUAACUACGUGCCAGCAGCCGCGGUAAUACGUAGGUGGCAAGCGUUGUCCGGAUUUAUUGGGCGUAAAGCGAGCGCAGGCGGUUUUUUAAGUCUGAUGUGAAAGCCUUCGGCUCAACCGAAGAAGUGCAUCGGAAACUGGGAAACUUGAGUGCAGAAGAGGACAGUGGAACUCCAUGUGUAGCGGUGAAAUGCGUAGAUAUAUGGAAGAACACCAGUGGCGAAGGCGGCUGUCUGGUCUGUAACUGACGCUGAGGCUCGAAAGUAUGGGUAGCAAACAGGAUUAGAUACCCUGGUAGUCCAUACCGUAAACGAUGAAUGCUAAGUGUUGGAGGGUUUCCGCCCUUCAGUGCUGCAGCUAACGCAUUAAGCAUUCCGCCUGGGGAGUACGGCCGCAAGGCUGAAACUCAAAGGAAUUGACGGGGGCCCGCACAAGCGGUGGAGCAUGUGGUUUAAUUCGAAGCUACGCGAAGAACCUUACCAGGUCUUGACAUACUAUGCAAAUCUAAGAGAUUAGACGUUCCCUUCGGGGACAUGGAUACAGGUGGUGCAUGGUUGUCGUCAGCUCGUGUCGUGAGAUGUUGGGUUAAGUCCCGCAACGAGCGCAACCCUUAUUAUCAGUUGCCAGCAUUAAGUUGGGCACUCUGGUGAGACUGCCGGUGACAAACCGGAGGAAGGUGGGGAUGACGUCAAAUCAUCAUGCCCCUUAUGACCUGGGCUACACACGUGCUACAAUGGAUGGUACAACGAGUUGCGAACUCGCGAGAGUAAGCUAAUCUCUUAAAGCCAUUCUCAGUUCGGAUUGUAGGCUGCAACUCGCCUACAUGAAGUCGGAAUCGCUAGUAAUCGCGGAUCAGCAUGCCGCGGUGAAUACGUUCCCGGGCCUUGUACACACCGCCCGUCACACCAUGAGAGUUUGUAACACCCAAAGUCGGUGGGGUAACCUUU
rnacentral:rRNA from 1 species